CAGUAGGGAUCUUCCGCAAUGGACGAAAGUCUGACGGAGCAACGCCGCGUGAGUGAUGAAGGCUUUCGGGUCGUAAAACUCUGUUGUUAGGGAAGAACAAGUGCUAGUUGAAUAAGCUGGCACCUUGACGGUACCUAACCAGAAAGCCACGGCUAACUACGUGCCAGCAGCCGCGGUAAUACGUAGGUGGCAAGCGUUAUCCGGAAUUAUUGGGCGUAAAGCGCGCGCAGGUGGUUUCUUAAGUCUGAUGUGAAAGCCCACGGCUCAACCGUGGAGGGUCAUUGGAAACUGGGAGACUUGAGUGCAGAAGAGGAAAGUGGAAUUCCAUGUGUAGCGGUGAAAUGCGUAGAGAUAUGGAGGAACACCAGUGGCGAAGGCGACUUUCUGGUCUGUAACUGACACUGAGGCGCGAAAGCGUGGGGAGCAAACAGGAUUAGAUACCCUGGUAGUCCACGCCGUAAACGAUGAGUGCUAAGUGUUAGAGGGUUUCCGCCCUUUAGUGCUGAAGUUAACGCAUUAAGCACUCCGCCUGGGGAGUACGGCCGCAAGGCUGAAACUCAAAGGAAUUGACGGGGGCCC
rnacentral:rRNA from 2 species